rnacentral:rRNA from 1 species
GUGAAACUGCGAAUGGCUCAUUAAAUCAGUUAUCGUUUAUUUGAUAGUACCUUACUACAUGGAUACCUGUGGUAAUUCUAGAGCUAAUACAUGCUAAAAACCCCGACUUCAGGAAGGGGUGUAUUUAUUAGAUAAAAAACCAACGCCCUUCGGGGCUCCUUGGUGAAUCAUAAUAACUUAACGAAUCGCAUGGCCUUGCGCCGGCGAUGGUUCAUUCAAAUUUCUGCCCUAUCAACUUUCGAUGGUAGGAUAGUGGCCUACCAUGGUGGCAACGGGUAACGGGGAAUUAGGGUUCGAUUCCGGAGAGGGAGCCUGAGAAACGGCUACCACAUCCAAGGAAGGCAGCAGGCGCGCAAAUUACCCAAUCCCGAUACGGGGAGGUAGUGACAAUAAAUACUGAUACGGGGCUCUUUUGGGUCUCGUAAUUGGAAUGAGAACAAUUUAAAUCCCUUAACGAGGAACAAUUGGAGGGCAAGUCUGGUGCCAGCAGCCGCGGUAAUUCCAGCUCCAAUAGCGUAUAUUAAAGGUUGUUGCAGUUAAAAAGCUCGUARUUGAACCCUUGGGUUCGGCUGGCCGGUCCGCCUCACCCGCGAGUACUGGUCCCGGCUGGACCCUUUCCUUCUGGGGAAACCUCAUGGCCUUUCACUGGCUGUGGGGGGGAACCCAGGAACUUUUACUGUSAAAAAAUUARAGUGUUCAAAGCAGGCCUUUGCUCGAAUACAUUAGCAUGGAAUAAUAGAAUAGGACGUGCGGUUCUAUUUUGUUGGUUUCUAGGACCGCCGUAAUGAUUAAUAGGGAUAGUCGGGGGCGUCAGUAUUCAGCUGUCAGAGGUGAAAUUCUUGGAUUUGCUGAAGACUAACUACUGCGAAAGCAUUCGCCAAGGAUGUUUUCAUUAAUCAGGGAACGAAAGUUAGGGGAUCGAAGACGAUCAGAUACCGUCGUAUUCUUAACCAUAAACUAUGCCGACUAGGGAUCGGACGGGAUUCUAUGAUGACCUGUUUGGGCACCUUACGAGAA